GUCUGGGUGGUUCAGUCAGUUGAGUGUCUGACUUCAGUUCAGGUCAUAAUCUCAUGGUUCAUGGGUUCGAGCCCCAUGUCAGGCU
rnacentral:tRNA from 1 species